CCCGGCAAUGCCGGCAGGGAGGGCACGGAGCAGCCGGUGCCCCUGGGGGGCGCUCCUGUCCCGCCGGGAGCUGAGAAAAUGAAAUACCGUAUUAAUGAUGGCAACUAUAAAAUUUUGGAAGAAAACUCAUCUAUCUUUCACAACUAUGAAAGCCGCAAAAAAUCCACAUAUUACCUCAGAAGUAAUCUCAGUAUUUUAAUUCCCCUGUGGAUGCAGAUGCCUGAGGCUCAGCCCUGAAGCAGACACGUAAGCUCCCGAGGUUGUUCAAGCAUCUUGCACAGUCUACAAAGAACUAUGCGUAUUUCUUGAGUCCUAUGGGGAAUGUUUUUGGAGAUCCCUGUCUACCCUUGCUGACAUCACAGGAGCUUAAGCAAUAGUUCCAGGAAGCAUUUUGUGAACCUCUGAUGUCAGUUCUCUGGAUGUAACAUCAGUACUCUGGCAAUAAACUGUUGCCCAGUAUUUGAAGACAAUCCAUGCUCAAGAACUUGACUCAUCCUUUCAGCAGGCUGAAGGAUUUUCUGGAGAUUGCUUAAUGUGACAUUGGCUAGCCCUUUGGAGUUCUACAGUGUCACAGAGUCAGAAUGAUUAUUUUAUAGUUGAAACCAGAAGAAACAUCUGCAGGUCACUUGUUCAAGCAGGGACAUUCAGACCAGGGUGAUUUCUAUGCAGAAAACUUACUUUUACCAAAGCAAUUGGAUUUUGAGAAAACUAACGGCACUAACAUGGUGCGUGGAUCUUAGACGGUCUUCGACAGAAAAGACCUUUGUAUUUGGAAAAUUUUCUGUAUUAAACACUAGCAAAUUAUCAAAAUAUCUUAUUAAUGAAUACAUCAGUAAGUGUGAAAUCUGGGUUAUCUGGCUAUUUUCCUCACUUUCAAUUAUGAUAAACAUGAUGAAUUAGAAGUAUGUAUCUAUGAUUUAGCAGUACACUUUCUACAAGAUUCAAUCCAGUAAGUUACAAAUAAGCUUUAAAAUUUGAGACAUCUCUGAAAUACAUUGCGGC
ensembl:lncRNA